AUUAGUCGGGGUGCUUCGUGCUGAGAUAAUACCCGUGAACCUGAUACAGUUAAUACUGACGUAGGAAACUA
rnacentral:ncRNA from 2 species